ensembl:lncRNA
CUUUUUAGGUGCCACUGUCCAAAGAAAACCACAGAAAGACAAAACAACUUUUUAUUAAACAUAAAAAAAUAGGUUUGGCUCCUUAGAAACAAAUCUAAAAAUAUUAAGAAAUUAGUUCCUUUUUUUUCUUUUUUUAAUACCUUUUAUAGGGACACAGGGAUUUUUGAAGUACAGACAAAAACAAACUGAGCUCCAGAAGUAAUGAAGAGGAAUUGCAGGAAAUCCCACUUUGUCUCCUCAGGGUGAAUUUUGAUCUGGAUCAGCAAUUUUGUAAUAUAUUGUGUUAUAGAUCCUCCAGAGUAGUGUUGUUUUUGUUUUGAUGGAUAUGAUAAGAGUUGAUAACAGAACCUAUUCUUAGUUCUCUUACUUAGUAAUAUUGUGGUGCUUCAAUGCAACUGAUGACUCUUUGCAAGAACUUUUUAUUGCACUUUAUUUUGUUGUCUCAGUAUUAGAACUGAAAGACCGUAACUCUGCUGGAUGAUGGAUAGUUACUCCCAGUUUUCAAAUGAGUUACUGGAUCUGUGUUUGGCAUAUUUAUAACUCUGCAGCACCCUGCAGCUCUACUUUAAAUCCACUAAUCCACAAGUUCAGUUAUGCUUGUGGGUUCUUGAAAUCGCUUUUUUUUUUUUUUUUUUUUUUUUUACCAUGUAUUGGGAAUAAAUUCAGUCAGUCUGCUUGUUGAUUUGUUCUAUUUUCAAUUUAUCAUAACAAGAUCCCAGACUGUCUCUCUUAUGCCAUAGUUAUGGAUACAGAAUUAUGAUUGUGAUUGUCUUACCUUUGCAACCAGGUCUGCAAGCACUUGCAGUUGGUUGCUGUCAAGUUGGCAGAUGCAGGUGCAAUGUUUCUGCAAUUUGACGAUUAACUAUGAUAAAUUAGCAAAACUUGAUUGCUAACUGUUGCACAGACAUUCACGUGCAAUGGAAAUUCACAUUAACUACUCACAUUCACUACAAUGAAUCUAGAUUUGAAAGAGAAAUUCCUUCAGAGUUUGUGACAGAGUCGCUGCAUGGCAGUGAUUUACCUGCAACAUGACAUGAUAAGCACUCAGCAACCUCACUAAUAUA